GGUCUAUUAGAUCAGUUGGUUAGAGCGUGGUAUUAAUAAUACCAAGAUUACAGGUUCGACCCCUGUAUGGACCA
rfam:Sphaerobolus stellatus SS14 unplaced genomic scaffold SPHSTscaffold_160, whole genome shotgun sequence.